rnacentral:rRNA from 1 species
AGCGCGGAGUAGCAAUACUUGGCGGCGACCGGCGCACGGGUGAGUAACACGUAUGCAACCAACCCAUAACAGGGGGAUAACCCGGAGAAAUCCGGACUAAUACGCAUAAGACCACGAUAUCGCAUGAUAUAGAGGUCAAAUAUUUAUAGGUUAGUGGACGGGCAUGCGUCUGAUUAGCUGGUGGCGGGGUAACGGCCCACCAAGGCAUCGAUCAGUAGGGGUUCUGAGAGGAAGGUCCCCCACAUUGGAACUGAGACACGGUCCAAACUCCUACGGGAGGCAGCAGUGAGGAAUAUUGGUCAAUGGGCGAAAGCCUGAACCAGCCAUGUCGCGUGAAGGAUGAAGGUCCUAUGGAUUGUAAACUUCUUUUGCAGGAGGGUAAAGUGAGCUACGUGUAGUUCAUUGCAAGUACCCUGCGAAUAAGCAUCGGCUAACUCCGUGCCAGCAGCAGC